rnacentral:rRNA from 1 species
UACGAAGGGCCCGAGCGUUAAUCGGAAUCACUGGGCUUAAAGGGUGCGUAGGCGGAAGGGUAAGUACCUUGUGAAAUCCCAGCGCUCAACGCUGGAACUGCGGGGUAUACUGCUUUUCUUGAGGUCGACAGAGGUUGCUGGAACUCUAGGUGUAGCGGUGAAAUGCGUAGAUAUCUAGGGGAACGCCAAAGGUGAAGACAGGCAACUGGGUCGAUUCUGACGCUGAGGCACGAAAGCGUGGGGAGCAAACAGG